rnacentral:rRNA from 1 species
UAAUACGUAGGGGGCAAGCGUUAUCCGGAUUUACUGGGCGUAAAGCGGGCGUAGGCGGCCUUUCAAGUCGGAUGUGAAAUCUCCCGGCUUAACUGGGAGGGUGCAUUCGAUACUGAUGGGCUAGAGUGCAGCAGAGGGAAGUGGAAUUCCCGGUGUAGUGGUGAAAUGCGUAGAUAUCGGGAAGAACACUAGUGGCGAAGGCGGCUUUCUGGGCUGUAACUGACGCUGAGGUCCGAAGGCGUGGGUAGCAAACAGGAUUAGAUACCCUGGUAGUCCACGCAGUAAACGAUGGAUACUAGGUAUGGGGGGUAUCGACCCCCUCCGUGCCGAAGCUAACGCUUUAAGUAUCCCGCCUGGGGACUACGGUCGCAAGACUA